rnacentral:rRNA from 1 species
CCCCUAGAUGUUCUGGGCCGCACGCGCGCUACACUGAACAGUUCAACAAGUCUUAACCUUGGCCGAUAGGUCUGGGUAAUCUUUGAACGCUGUUCGUGAUUGGGAUAGACCUUUGCAAUUAUGGGUCUUCAACGAGGAAUUCCUAGUAAACGCAAGUCAUCAGCUUGCAUUGAUUACGUCCCUGCCCUUUGUACACACCGCCCGUCGCACCUACCGAUUGAGUGAUCCGGUGAAUAAUUCGGACUGCAGCAGUGUUCAGUUCCUGAACGUUGCAGCGGAAAGUUUAGUGAACCUUAUCACUUAGAGGAAGGAGAANUCGUANCA